AUUGAACGCUGGCGGAAUGCUUUACACAUGCAAGUCGAACGGUAGAGGGGGCAACCCCUCGAGAGUGGCGAACGGGGGAGUAAUAUAUCGGAACGUGCCCAGUCGUGGGGGAUAACGGAGCGAAAGUUACGCUAAUACCGCAUACGAACUAAGGAUGAAAGCGGGGGAUCGCAAGACCUCGCGCGAUUGGAGCGGCCGAUUUCAGAUUAGGUAGGUGGUGGGGUAAAGGCUCACCAAGCCAACGAUCUGUAGCUGGUCUGAGAGGACGACCCGCCACGCUGGAACGGAGACACGGUCCAGACUCCUACGGGAGGCAGCAGUGGGGAAUUUUGGACAAUGGACGCAAGUCUGACCCAGCCAUUCCGAGUGCAGGAUGAAGGCCUUCGGGUUGUAAACUGCUUUUGUACGGAACGAAAAGGUCUCUCUUAAUACGGGGGGCUGAUGACGGUACCGUAAGAAUAAGCACCGGCUAACUACGUGCCAGCCGCCGCAGUAA
rnacentral:rRNA from 1 species